rnacentral:rRNA from 1 species
AUUGAACGCUGGCGGCAGGCCUAACACAUGCAAGUCGAGCGGAGCGGCGGACGGGUGAGUAAUGCCUAGGAAUCUGCCUGGUAGUGGGGGAUAACGUCCGGAAACGGGCGCUAAUGCCGCAUACUAUAAGAUUAGCCUAGUUCGGAUUUGCUAGUUGGGGGGUUAAAGGCCUACCAAGGCGACGACCCGUAACUGGUCUGAGAGGAUGAUCAGGCCGAAUGGAACUGAGACACGGUCCAGACUCCUACGGUAGGCAGCAGUGGGAAAUAUUGGACAAUGGGCGAAAGCCUGAUCCAGCCAUGCCGCGUGUGUGAAGAAGGUCGUCGGAUUGUAAAGCACGUGAAGUUGGGAGGCGUUACCAACAGAAUAAGCACCGGCUAACUUCGUGCCAGCCGCCGCGGUAAUAG